rnacentral:rRNA from 1 species
AGCGAACGCUGGCGGCAGGCCUAACACAUGCAAGUCGAACGAAGUCUUCGGACUUAGUGGCGGACGGGUGAGUAACACGUGGGAACGUACCUUUUGGUUCGGAACAACUCAGGGAAACUCGAGCUAAUACCGGAUGAGCCCUUAGGGGGAAAGAUUUAUCGCCGAAAGAGCGGCCCGCGUUAGAUUAGCUAGUUGGUGAGGUAAAGGCUCACCAAGGCUACGAUCUGUAGCUGGUCUGAGAGGAUGAUCAGCCACACUGGGACUGAGACACGGCCCAGACUCCUACGGGAGGCAGCAGUGGGGAAUCUUGCGCAAUGGGCGAAAGCUUGACGCAGCCAUGCCGCGUGAAUGAUGAAGGUCUUAGGAUUGUAAAAUUCUUUUACCAGGGACGAUAAUGACGGUACCUGGAGAAAAAGCCCCGGCUAACUUCGUGCCAGCAGCCGCCGUAACAC